rnacentral:lncRNA from 1 species
AGGGAAAUGGCUUCAUUGACUGAAACAUAGUUCUUUGAUAUUAAUAACCUGCUAUAUUUUCAGCUAAUCCAAAAGUAAAUGAGAAACUUAGAGAAAGAUUGCCAAUCCCAAAUCAACACACUUACAGAGAAUUGGAAAAGAAGAAGAUUUACGGCUUCAUUUGAGGACUUUUGUAAAGAACUCGGGUUCCAAUAUGAGAUCCGCCCCGCUGCCACCCGAAAGUAGAGAUUCCACAGGAAAAGCAAAAUCCUCAUCUGGCCCGAACGUGGAAAGCCGCUCCAGCCACGUGACGAACCUGUGGGCCCGGCAGAGUGUGAGAACGAGAGCCUGAGGGUACUAAGUCCGAGGAGCCUCCCGCCUGUGGGGGCGGAGCGGGCCCCUCUCGAUGACAUCGAGGACUGUCGUGUUCCUGAAGGACCCAGGUGAGCACGGGCCCCUCCCCCUCCCCACAAAGGGUGGAACGGGGCG